rnacentral:rRNA from 1 species
AGAGUUUGAUCAUGGCUCAGGAUGAACGCUAGCGACAGGCUUAACACAUGCAAGUCGAGGGGCAGCACAGGUAGCAAUACUGGGUGGCGACCGGCGCACGGGUGCGUAACGCGUAUGCAACCUACCUAUAAUAGGGGGAUAGCCUUCUGAAAGGGAGAUUAAUACCGCAUAAAACAACGAGAUCGCAUGGUUUUGUUGUAAAAUAUUAAUAGAUUAUGGAUGGGCAUGCGUCUGAUUAGAUAGUUGGGAGGGUAACGGCCUACCAAGUCAACGAUCAGUAGGGGUUCUGAGAGGAAGGUCCCCCACAUUGGAACUGAGACACGGUCCAAACUCCUACGGGAGGCAGCAGUGAGGAAUAUUGGUCAAUGGGCGAGAGCCUGAACCAGCCAAGUCCGCGUGAAGGAAGAAGGUCUUAUGGAUUGUAAACUUCUUUUAUAGGGGAAUAAAGAUGAGUACGAGUACUCAAUUGCAGGUACCCUAAGAAUAAGGAUCGGCUAACUCCGUGCCAGCCGCCGC